rnacentral:rRNA from 1 species
UGGGGAAUAUUGCACAAUGGGCGCAAGCCUGAUGCAGCCAUGCCGCGUGUGUGAAGAAGGCCUUCGGGUUGUAAAGCACUUUCAGCGGGGAGGAAGGCGAUAAGGUUAAUAACCUUGUCGAUUGACGUUACCCGCAGAAGAAGCACCGGCUAACUCCGUGCCAGCAGCCGCGGUAAUACGGAGGGUGCAAGCGUUAAUCGGAAUUACUGGGCGUAAAGCGCACGCAGGCGGUUUGUUAAGUCAGAUGUGAAAUCCCCGGGCUCAACCUGGGAACUGCAUCUGAUACUGGCAAGCUUGAGUCUCGUAGAGGGGGGUAGAAUUCCAGGUGUAGCGGUGAAAUGCGUAGAGAUCUGGAGGAAUACCGGUGGCGAAGGCGGCCCCCUGGACAAAGACUGACGCUCAGGUGCGAAAGCGUGGGGAGCAAACAGG